UUUAUGCUUCCAAUAAUAUCCACAGGUAAGCUACAAAGAAGACGCUCUACGGGAGAAUAUUAGUGCAUUUAUGAACGCUGUAUUACUUGCGAAGCCUGCUGGCUUAAAGAAGACUUCCAAAUAUGCUGGGUAUGUGCUGUCUGUCCAUAUAAGCAGCACGAUGGGCCCAGGAUUUCCUGUAUCAAUACAAUCAUUAUCCAAAGCUGCAGAUAACUACAAGAAAACGCAUGUGGUAUGAAUCACGUGGAUAUGUCAAAUGUAGGCAUUCGACAUGAAUCCAACUUUAGAUGAACAUAUAUCGUAGUGUUUUUGUUCAUUACUUUUGAUUUUGUAAGCUGUUUAGUGAUGUAUGUGACAAUAAGCGAAAAUUUUGACAUUGUACGAGCUUGUUGAAUUUUCUGGUUAUGUAUCAUUUUCCUCAUUGCACCACCGAAAAUCUUGGCUUACCAAAUUAAUUCA